rnacentral:rRNA from 1 species
AACCUUACCUGGGCUUGACAUGCAACUGAAGGUGCAGAAAUCUACUAGCNUACCGNUAGGCAAGAGGUUACACAGGUGGUGCACGGUCGUCGUCAGCUCGUGCCGUGAGGUGUUGGGUUAAGUCCCACAACGAGCGCAACCCCUACAGUUAGUUGCCAGCGCGUAAAGGCGGGCGACACUAACUGGACAGCCGUCGACGAGGCAGGAGGAAGGAGGGGAUGACGUCAGAUAAUCGUGCCCCUAAUACUCUGGGCGACACACGUGCUACAAUGGGGAGGACAAAGGGAAGCGAAGCCGGAAGGUGGAGCGGAUCCUAAAAAACUCUCCUUAAUAUGGAUUGUAGGCUGAAACCCGCCUACAUGAAGCUGGAAUCGCUAGUAAUCGCAGGUCAGCCAAACUGCGGUGAAUACG